rnacentral:lncRNA from 1 species
UUUAUUUAUUUUUUUUAAAAUUAACCUAUUCUUUUUUAUUUCUCUAAUUUCGUUUGUAUAAAAUCUGCCAGAGUAAUUGGGCUAAUAAGUUCAAACCAUAAUCUCCGAACAGUGUACUUAAAAAAUAGGCUAUCUUGAACUGAACAGGGCCUAAACGCCCAAGCAACUGGACCCAUUCACCCAACGGAAAUGAAAAGCAAAACCAUUAGACAAAACUCAUUGAUUGUUUCUCCAUUCUCACCAAGAAUUCUUCGAGUUCUCAGCUAAAACCACAAUGAAAAGCCGCCCCUCACGGAUAUAUCCAUAUUACAUUUGACCAGAAAGAGACAGUGACGGCUAACAGGCAUUUCACCGCACAUAUAAAAUGAACUAUAAAAUAAAUCUAAUUCAUUUAACAUAC